AAGUUGUAACAAGGUCUCUGUUAGUAAACUAGCAGAAGGAUCAUUAUAAAGUUGCAAAACUCCUAUUACCAUUGUAAACUUACUUUAUAACCGUUGCUUUAGCAGGUGGCCCUAGGCUUCUGUUUUUAUAGAUCCUUAAGGCCCUAUAGCCUAAUUGUUAGGUGCCUGCUAAAGGUUAUACAACUAGACAUUGUUUAUAGCCUGUCAGAAUUUAUACUACCAAAUUAGUUAAAACUUUCAACAACGGAUCUCUUGGUUCUA
rnacentral:misc_RNA from 1 species